AGAGGAAGUAAAAGUCGUAACAAGGUCUCCGUUGGUGAACCAGCGGAGGGAUCAUUACUGAGUUUACGCUCUACAACCCUUUGUGAACAUACCUAUAACUGUUGCUUCGGCGGGUAGGGUCUCCGCGACCCUCCCGGCCUCCCGCCUCCGGGCGGGUCGGCGCCCGCCGGAGGAUAACCAAACUCUGAUUUAACGACGUUUCUUCUGAGUGGUACAAGCAAAUAAUCAAAACUUUUAACAACGGAUCUCUUGGUUCUGGCAUCGAUGAAGAACGCAGCGAAAUGCGAUAAGUAAUGUGAAUUGCAGAAUUCAGUGAAUCAUCGAAUCUUUGAACGCACAUUGCGCCCGCCAGCAUUCUGGCGGGCAUGCCUGUUCGAGCGUCAUUUCAACCCUCAAGCUCUGCUUGGUGUUGGGGCCCUACAGCCGAUGUAGGCCCUCAAAGGUAGUGGCGGACCCUCCCGGAGCCUCCUUUGCGUAGUAACUUUACGUCUCGCACUGGGAUCCGGAGGGACUCUUGCCGUAAAACCCCCCAAUUUUCCAAAGGUUGACCUCGGAUCAGGUAGGAAUACCCGCUGAACUUAAGCAUAU
rnacentral:rRNA from 1 species